rnacentral:lncRNA from 1 species
GAAAGGCUUAUGAAUUGUCCCGUCUGCUAGGCUAAUGGAGGCGUCCCCUCUCUGACUUGAAGAGGAAGAGAGUGAUGUCAGAGAAAGAUUGAGGCAGGGUUUACAGAAACACACACCAGUUUGGUCAUUUUGGCCAAAAAGCUGGUCCAUUCAUCCAAACAGCUGAGCGUGCCCUCCGAGACCUGCUGCCUGUAUGAAGGGCGUGUGAGCACUCUCGCUGAGCUCUCGGGGCUGUUUGCCGCAGGAGUGAUUCAUUGGGGUCAAUCCACCUUGGGGCUGGGGAAAAAGCACUGGAGGAAGGUUCAGUCGGUGUGAGUUACGGCCUCAGUUCCGUGAGACGGCGCCGGUACUGGAAGGAACAGCAGGCUUGGACCCGAGAGAUCUUGUCUACAAAUACGUCUUUUUACAACACAUCAUUUAACUUUUCUUGCCUCCAGUUUAUUAAGCUGCACACCAGGGAGUUCCCUGCAUGGCCUGAGAAGGAUUAGGGAAUAUGAACAGACUAAGUCCCAGCAAGUCUAAAUCACCUAUUCAAGAGCUUCCAGCAGGUCGCUGGCAGAGCAGGAGCCAUCCCAUCUCAUAAUGUGAUUCUUAGGUCUAUGAACUUGAGAAGCAAUGAGUCAUGGGCCUGCUACCCAAAUCGAAGGUGGGUUUUCCUAGUGAAAUGUGCAAUAGUGACAUUAAGCAAUGCUGAUUCAAGAAGUCAGUCUCAUGCUUGGUUAAACUAAAAU